AUAAAAAAGUCUUUAUUGUGGAGAAAAAUGUUUAUUUUUAUGCAGAAGGAAGAUGGAGUUGACAGUUUAGACUGUAGAAUGAAUAGCAGUUACUUCUCACUUGUGGUCCCGGCCAUGACAAAGCUGCUCAUUUGGAAUGCUUCUCAGCCAAUGUGAGCAUUGUAUGGAACUGAGAUUUCACUUUUCAACCUUCUGCCUUCAGCUAAUCUACAUCUGGACAAACUGGACCAAGGCCAGCUUCAAACAGUGGGUCCCCGUGGCAGGGUCACACAAAUUAACAAUGAAAUCAUCAUUAAAAAGGAGAAGAAAAGACCAAACUAUCAACUGAAUCUGUGAAAAAUAAAAAAUAUGACCAGGGGUUGCAAGAAUAGUCAUUUAUCAUGUCAGCUCAAUUCUAGUAGUUAUAUCCAUGAAAUAGAAUGUUAAGGUCACCAUGUGACAUAGAAGAAAUUGGAAA
rnacentral:lncRNA from 1 species